UACAGAGGUCCCAAGCGUUGUUCGGAUUCACUGGGCGUAAAGCGCGCGUAGGCGGCUUUUCAAGUCAGACGUGAAAGCCCCAGGCUUAACCUGGGAAUUGCGUUUGAUACUGUUAAGCUAGAGUGUGGAAGGGGCUACUGGAAUUCCGGUGUGUAGCGGUGAAAUGCGUAGAGUAUAACGGAGGAACACCAGCGGCGAAGGCGGG
rnacentral:rRNA from 1 species